rnacentral:rRNA from 1 species
UACCAGCACCCCGAGUGGUCGGGACGUUUUAUUGGGGCCUAAAGCAUCCGUAGCCGGUUCUGCAAGUCCCCCGUUAAAUCCAGCUGCUCAACAGAUGGGCCGCGGAGGAUACUACAGAGCUAGGAGGCAGGAGAGGCAAGCGGUACUCAGUGGGUAGGGGUAAAAUCCGUUGAUCCAUUGAAGACCACCAGUGGCGAAGGCGGCUUGCCAGAAUGCGCUCGACGGUGAGGGAUGAAAGCUGGAGGGAGCAAACCGG